rnacentral:rRNA from 1 species
GAUGAACGCUGGCGGCGUGCUUAACACAUGCAAGUCGAACGGAAAGGCCAGUGCUUGCACUGGUACUCGAGUGGCGAACGGGUGGGUAACACGUGGGUGAUCUGCCCUGCACUUCGGGAUAAGCCUGGGAAACUGGGUCUAAUACCGGAUAGGACAAUGGUUUGGAUGCCGUUGUGGAAAGUUUUUUCGGUGUGGGAUGAGCUCGCGGCCUAUCAGCUUGUUGGUGGGGUAAUGGCCUACCAAGGCGUCGACGGGUAGCCGGCCUGAGAGGGUGUACGGCCACAUUGGGACUGAGAUACGGCCCAGACUCCUACGGGAGGCAGCAGUGGGGAAUAUUGCACAAUGGGCGCAAGCCUGAUGCAGCGACGCCGCGUGGGGGAUGACGGCCUUCGGGUUGUAAACUCCUUUCGCUAGGGACGAAGCGUAUUUGUGACGGUACCUGGAGAAGAAGCACCGGCUAACUACGUG